rnacentral:tRNA from 1 species
GGAUCCGUAGCGAAAUUGGUUAUCGCGCCUCCCUGUCACGGAGGAGACUGCCGGUUCGAGUCCGGUCGGGUCCGC